rnacentral:rRNA from 1 species
GAUGAACGCUGGCGGCGUGCCUAACACAUGCAAGUCGAGCGAUCUUCUUCGGAAGAGAGCGGCGGACGGGUGAGUAACGCGUGGGUAACCUGCCUCAUACACAUGGAUAACAUACCGAAAGGUAUGCUAAUACAAGAUGAUAUAAGAGAUUCGCAUGGAUUUCUUAUCAAAGCUCCGGCGGUAUGAGACGGACCCGCGUCUGAUUAGCUAGUUGGUAAGGUAAUGGCUUACCAAGGCGACGAUCAGUAGCCGACCUGAGAGGGUGAUCGGCCACAUUGGAAGUGGGACACGGUCCAAACUCCUACGGGAGGCAGCAGUGGGGAAUAUUGCACAAUGGGCGAAAGCCUGAUGCAGCAACGCCGCGUGAGCGAUGAAGGCCUUCGGGUCGUAAAGCUCUGUCCUCAAGGAAGAUAAUGACGGUACUUGAGGAGGAAGCCCCGGCUAACUACGUGCCAGCAGCCGCAGUAACAC